rnacentral:pre_miRNA from 1 species
CGUGUGUGUGUGUGUGUGUGUGUGUGUGUGUGUGCUGUGAUUCCACUUGGGAGGACACACACACACACUCAC